rnacentral:rRNA from 1 species
AAACUUAAAGGAAUUGACGGGACCCGCACAGCGGUGAUGAUGUGGUUUAAUUCGAUGCAACGCGAAAACCUUACCUACCCUUGACAUGUACGGAACUUGCCAGAGAUGGCUUGGUGCUCGAAAGAGAGCCGUAACACAGGUGCUGCAUGGCUGUCGUCAGCUCGUGUCGUGAGAUGUUGGGUUAAGUCCCGCAACGAGCGCAACCCUUGUCAUUAGUUGCUACGAAAGGGCACUCUAAUGAGACUGCCGGUGACAAACCGGAGGAAGGUGGGGAUGACGUCAAGUCCUCAUGGCCCUUAUGGGUAGGGCUACACACGUCAUACAAUGGCCGGUACAAAGGGCAGCCAACCCGCGAGGGGGAGCCAAUCCCGUAAAGCCGGUCGUAGUCCGGAUCGCAGUCUGCAACUCGACUGCGUGAAGUCGGAAUCGCUAGUAAUCGUGGAUCAGCAUGUCACGGUGAAUACGUUCCCGGGCCUU